UUGUAAAUUUUUUGAAACAGUGCACUCUUUUAAUAUUAGCAACCAUUUACUAUUUUCCUAUCAAAAGAUCUUCUUAGCCUUUCAAUUCCCACAAAAAAUUAAAAUGUGGCAUUAAUUGACUAUAUAUAUGUGCCUUAUGAACAAUUCCUCGGUAGAUAUGACUGUGUGAACUUUCAAUUUGAGAGAUGUGUGUAUUGUAGAAGGAGAAUAAUAAUCAAAGUUCAUGUUUCGUGUAGCUUUCUGAGACGUGCAAAUGGAGUGAUCGAUUGCUAUCGCAACACAUAAAGUGUAAUAUUUAACCUGGAAGUGGAAUGUGCACGUUUGAAUACAAGUUAUACCAUCGGGAACUUUAGUAAGUUGUCAUAAAAUUUAAAAAUAUAGUUGUACAAAUUUUAGAAUUUUAGAAUUUUAAUAAUAUAUUGUUUUUCAGGCUUCUUUGGAUUGAGCUACAUAGAAGACAUGAAUAUGUAUGAUGACAACAUAAAAUGGUAAUAAUUAUUUGCUAUGUAGAGGGGUAGCAAUUCUAUGUAUGAGGUGGAUAGUGUCAACUUUUAUGAUGUAGUAACUCUCUUGAUUUGUAGAAAAAAUCUUCCCAAUCUCUCUUAUAUAGUCUGGUAAUUGUUUACUAUAUGUAGAGGGGAAACAAUUGUAUCUGUGUUUUGUAUGAUGUGAGAUUUUAUGUUGUAACUCUUUUGGUUUGUAGAAAACCUUCUCACUUUCUCUUUUGGUUUUGUAUGAUGUGAGCUUUUAUGUUGUAAUCUCUAAUAUUGAUGUAUUUAAGCUUAAGUUACAAAAAAAAAUCCACCCUUUCUCA